rfam:Lactobacillus thailandensis DSM 22698 = JCM 13996 strain DSM 22698 Scaffold1, whole genome shotgun sequence.
GCCAUCUUAGCUCAGUCGGUAGAGCAUCUCCCUCGUAAAGAGAAGGUCGCUGGUUCGAUUCCAGUAGAUGGCA